UGGGCUAUAAGUUAAUUAGACUAGAAGUUUUCAGCACUUCAAGUAAGGGGGGACCUUUUGGCCUAG
rnacentral:tRNA from 1 species